rnacentral:rRNA from 1 species
AGUGAACGCUGGCGGUAGGCCUAACACAUGCCAGUCGAACGGCAGCACAGUAAGAGCUUGCUCUUACGGGUGGCGAGUGGCGGACGGGUGAGGAAUACAUCGGAAUCUACUUUUUCGUGGGGGAUAACGUAGGGAAACUUACGCUAAUACCGCAUACGACCAACGGGUGAAAGCAGGGGAUCUUCGGACCUUGCGCGAUUGAAUGAGCCGAUGUCGGAUUAGCUAGUUGGCGGGGUAAAGGCCCACCAAGGCGACGAUCCGUAGCUGGUCUGAGAGGAUGAUCAGCCACACUGGAACUGAGACACGGUCCAGACUCCUACGGGAGGCAGCAGUGGGGAAUAUUGGACAAUGGGCGCAAGCCUGAUCCAGCCAUACCGCGUGGGUGAAGAAGGCCUUCGGGUUGUAAAGCCCUUUUGUUGGGAAAGAAAAGCAGCAGGUUAAUACCCCGCUGUUCUGACGGUACCCAAAGAAUAAGCACCGGCUAACUUCGUG